rnacentral:rRNA from 1 species
AUGCACACAUUUAUGGAUAUGUGUAAUCAGAAGAAGAGGAAGUCAGAGCACGUCCUUGCCGGUGGGACGGUAGAUCAACGCAAAAGGUUGAGUUUAGAGAACAUCGAAGAGGGAGGAGGAAUUUUGCCCAAAAAAAAAGAGGAGAGAGGAGGAAGGCAUUCAAUUGCCUUCUUGUGUGGUGUCAAUGUGGAAGAAGAUGCACUACAACCAGAAUUAUCUUUUACAGAACUUCAUCUGAGGGCAUGUUUCCCUCUUAUCUUCUUGUCCAAGAGAGGCCCAUGCUCGAUUGCCCCACCUUUUUUCCUGAUUUUCCAUUCGGUUCAACCUUUUUGUCUUCGUGUUUUUGUUCGUUUUUCCUGUUUUUUUGGGGCGACAAAGCCCUCGUCGUGCCAGCCGUCCGUCGCCCUGAUCAAGUUUCUCGUCUCUUCGCCGGCAAGCGGCGGCAGCGGUCAUCAAAGUCAGGCAACGCCUCACCGCGCCGCCCCCACUGGCUCCCGUCGCCGCGCCGCGCCCACUGGCUCCCUCGCCGCCGCUGGAUCCCGUCACCGCGCCGCCCCCACUGGCUCCCGUCGCCGCCGCUGGAAGCGCACCCGCUGCCUUCCCUCGAUGGGGCAGACGCCGCGAGUGCUUCUGUCGUGGCAGCGCCAGAGCGGCCUAUGGCUCGAGCUCAUCCUCUUCAAUGGAGGAGGGCGACGGGAAUGGCUUGUCGAGCAGGUGGAGCUCGUCGCCUCCUUCCCCUCCACUCUCUUUGCCGACCACAUCAGAGGAGGCUGCCGCUCCUCUGCUUCGGCUUCCGACGCGUGCUCCACAUCGCUGCAGCACCGGCAGGCCAACGCCUCGAAAAUGCGCACACCUCGGCCGCCUCCUUGUCCUCUACCGCGGCCGUACCCGUCUCCGACGCCGACGAGGGCGCCGCCGUGCCAAUCGGACAUCAGGGCCAGUGCGCUGAGGUUGUCCACACCGAGGGGGCUGAUUGCACUUUUUAAAAGGUCUAGGGGAGGCAGGCAACGAUGUCGUGGAGUUCCUCACCGGUCUCCUGUCCCUGCCGCUUGGCACUGUUGUCAACCUGUUGUCUCCUGUCCCUGCCUUGGCAACGUGCUCAGCAGCGCGGAGAAACUGGACGCGAAAUACAAGAUUAAAGAGCGGCGUCUCAGCCCGGCUGUCGGCCGAGCUACGCUCUCCUGCCUACAACAGCUACUGAGUGCGCAGCUCAACAACGCAACGACACUCGCCCCUGACCCUGUUGGAACAACAACAGCCACGUCACUACCUACAUCCACGUACACGAUUGGGGACGACCUUUCGGUGACUCCGGCAUCUUUUUUCACGACUAUUUCGUUGUUGGGCAUCACAGAGCUUGGCACCCUGGACCUCAGUGCACUGCAGCAAAAGACUGUAAAAAUCGGCAAAGAAGAGGCGCUGGAGAUACUCCUUGCUUCCCUCAAGUCGGAGACCGUCCUGACAGACGUCUUCCUGCCGAAGAAGAAGGCUCGCCGCUAG